rnacentral:misc_RNA from 1 species
AACGCACCUUGCGCUCUCUGGUAUUCCGGAGAGCAUGCCUGUUUGAGUGUCAUGAACUCUUCAACCCACCCUUUCCUUGUUGAUUGGUGUUGGUGUUUGGAUCUUGAACGUUUUGCAGACUGCUUGUCAGCCUGCUCGUUCGUAAUACAUUAGCCUUCUCAAUUUCGAACUUCGGAUUGACUCAGCGUAAUAGACUAUUCGCUGAGGACACUGGCGCCUUCGGGUCUGGUGGCCGAACUGUAGAUAACUACGAAGCUUCUAAUCUCAAUUUGUAGUCAAAUUUUUUGAAUUUAGACCUCAAAUCAGGCAGGAUUACCCGCUGAACUUAA